rnacentral:rRNA from 1 species
UACGUAGGGGGCGAGCGUUGUCCGGAGUUACUGGGCGUAAAGCGCACGCAGGCGGUCUGCUAAGUUUGGAGUGACAGUUGGUGGCUUAACUGUCAAAGUGCUUCGAAAACUGACAGACUUGAGGGCUUCAGAGGGACACGGAAUUCCGGGUGGAGUGGUGAAAUGCGUAGAGAUCCGGAGGAACACCAAAGGCGAAGGCAGUGUCCUGGGGAGUACCUGACGCUCAGGUGCGAAAGCCAGGGGAGCGAACGGG